rnacentral:tRNA from 1 species
GCCUUCUUAGCUCAGUGGUAGAGCGUUGCACUUGUAUGAGCUUUCCGGAGCUUCAACACUGAUGCAAAGGUCAGUCGUUCAAUCCGGCUAGGAGGCA